GUUUUGAGUGAUUCCAAAGCCAGAUUUUAGAUAAGAUCCUGAAUAUCUUGCAUAACAAAUUUCAGAGCCAAAUUCUAAAAAUACAGCUCAGCAUAAAUCGGGGAACAAACACGUUUUCUGGCCCACAACAUUUUCCAGUGGUGCUGUUUUUUUAUUUGGUCAUCUAAUCUAGUGCUUUUCUUUAGGAAUUCUUUUGUGUGCCAACCUUUAAUUGAGUACCUUUAUUUGUUUGCUUUACUUAAUUGACUCUCUUUCUAGUUGUCACAAUCUAAAUCCUUUUGGUGGUACUGUUUU
rnacentral:lncRNA from 1 species